CAAGUAGUGGGAAUCUUUUGAGAGAUAGAAGUGCGAUUAGAAUAAUUAUGACCGUGCCGCUGAUAACUUAUCAUCAAAGGCCAAGCUGUGGUGAAAGUACGACCAUGUUUCACUUUAUUUGAUUUUUCAAUCGCUCUUUCUUGAAAAUGGGCGAGUCAUUUUUAGCCUUGUAAUAAGGUUUAAUUUUUUUCUAGUAAAGGCGGACUUCCUUUUAAACAUUAAAGUUACAAAUUGUGUUAUUGUUCUUUAUUUCUAUCGAUAUUUCAUUUCUACAUGUAUAUAUCUGUCACUCUAGUUGGAGAGAAAGAAAAAUUCUGAAAGAAGUUGUCAAACAAGCAAAGACACCUUUGAAGACAAGAAUAAUACCACAAGUUAACAAGGGCGUCAUGUUGCCAGCACAAUGACCAACUGCCUUUACUUUCCCAAACUAAUGUUGGGUUGACUCAGAGGGUAUCCUAAAAAUUCAUUAUACAGGCCUUCAGCGAGAUUUGAAGCAGAGACACCUCAAUUCAGAAGUGAAAGGUUCUACCACUCAGCCACCAUAUUACAUAUUUGUCAAAAUGAUUGAAUGUGCACACAAGUCAUUUCAUUGUGUCUAUUCUUCACUAAAGUGUUUGUACCUGUCAU